rnacentral:rRNA from 1 species
UACGGAGGGUGCAAGCGUUGUCCGGAAUCAUUGGGCGUAAAGAGUUCGUAGGUGGCUUGUUAAGUCUGGUGUUAAAUCCCGAAGCUCAACUUCGGUCAUGCACUGGAUACUGGCAAGCUAGAAUGCGGUAGAGGUAAAGGGAAUUCCUGGUGUAGCGGUGAAAUGCGUAGAUAUCAGGAGGAACAUCGGUGGCGAAAGCGCUUUACUGGGCCGUAAUUGACACUGAGGAACGAAAGCCGGGGUAG